rnacentral:rRNA from 1 species
UACGUAGGGGGCGAGCGUUGUCCGGAGUUACUGGGCGUAAAGGGCGUGCAGGCGGUGCGGUAAGUUUAGCGUGACAGUCUCCGGCUUAACUGGAGAAGGCCGCUGAAAACUGCUGGACUUGAGGGCCAGAGAGGGACAUAGAAUCCGGGUGGAGUGGUGAAAUGCGUAGAUAUUCGGAAGAACACCAGUGGCGAAGGCGGCUCACUGGACAUGUAUUGACGCUGAGGUGCGAAAGCGUGGGGAGCAAACAGG